GAGGGUAUAGCUCAGGGGUAGAGUGUGUGCUUAGCAUGCACAGGGUCCUGGGUUCAAUCCCCAGUACCUCCA
rnacentral:tRNA from 1 species